UACGAAGGGGGCUAGCGUUGCUCGGAAUUACUGGGCGUAAAGCGCACGUAGGCGGCUUUCUAAGUCGGUGGUGAAAUCCUGGAGCUCAACUCCAGAACUGCCUUCGAUACUGGAAAGCUCGAGUCCGGGAGAGGUGAGUGGAACUGCGAGUGUAGAGGUGAAAUUCGUAGAUAUUCGCAAGAACACCAAUGGCGAAGGCGGCUCACUGGCCCGGUACUGACGCUGAGGUGCGAAAGCGUGGGGAGCAAACAGG
rnacentral:rRNA from 1 species